AACUGAGGACAAAUGAUUAUACAUCACUAAAUGAAGCUGAUUAAUUUAUUGCUCCUUUGUGUCCAGUGACAAAUAUGUCAUGCAUAUUCCCGACUAGAUUCAAAGUGGAUCAAUCUGAAUCAUAUGCUUACAAAUUUAGAGUGGCAUUUUUUACAAUAAGGCAGAGCGUUCGCUAGAGGUAAAACGUAUGCCGAAAUAGAAUAGAUUUGAACCAUAAUGAUAGAACUCGUAAGUUAAGCUAUUAGCCCUCCUGCCCACUUUUUUCUCCACGGUAGAUAAAAGCCAUAAACAAAACGUCAUGAAUUUACAAUCAAUAACGGCCACUAUAAGUAAAUGAGAUAUGGACUUUUUAUAAAUAAAUUCCUAUUGCAGCCAACAUUUCCCGGUUCGGGACAGGUUAUUAUUUCCACAAAAUACCGCCUGAUUAUUGAUCGGAGAUAUUUAAGCAACCAAAAG
rnacentral:lncRNA from 1 species